rnacentral:rRNA from 1 species
AGCAGCCGCGGUAAUUCCAGCUCCAAUAGCGUAUAUUAAAGUUGUUGCAGUUAAAAAGCUCGUAGUUGAAUUUCGGGAUCAGUGCGCUGGUCGUGCCUUCGGUAUGUACUGGUGUUACUGGUUUCUACCUUCUGAAGAACCGUCAUGUCAUUAGUUUGGUGUGGCGGGGAAUCAGGACUGUUACUUUGAAAAAUUAGAGUGUUUAAAGCAGGCUCGCGCUUGAAUACAUUAGCAUGGAAUAAUGAAAUAGGACGUUUGAUCCUAUUUUGUUGGUUUCUAGGAUUGACGUAAUGAUUAAUAGGGAUAGUUGGGGGCAUUAGUAUUCAAUUGUCAGAGGUGAAAUUCUUGGAUUUAUUGAAGACUAACUACUGCGAAAGCAUUUGCCAAGGAUGUUUUCAUUAAUCAAGAACGAAAGUUAGGGGAUCGAAGACGAUCAGAUACCGUCGUAGUCUUAACCAUAAACUAUGCCGACUAGAGAUCGGAUGAUGUUAAUUUUUAAUGACUCAUUCGGCG